rnacentral:rRNA from 1 species
GCCUAAAGCGUCCGUAGCCGGCUUUGUAAGUUUUCGGUUAAAUCUAUAUGCUCAACAUAUAGGCCGCCGGGAAUACUGCAAAGCUAGGGAGUGGGAGAGGUAGACGGUACUCCGUAGGAAGGGGUAAAAUCCUUUGAUCUAUGGAUGACCACCUGUGGCGAAGGCGGUCUACCAGAACACGUUCGACGGUGAGGGAUGAAAGCUGGGGGAGCAAACCGGAUUAGAUACCCGGGUAGUCCCAGCUGUAAACUAUGCAAACUCAGUGAUGCAUUGGCUUGUGGCCAAUGCAGUGCCGCAGAGAAGUCGUUAAGUUUGCCGCCUGGGAAGUACGUACGCAAGUAUGAAACUUAAAGGAAUUGGCGGGGGAGCACCACAAGGGGUGAAGCCUGCGGUUCAAUUGGAGUCAACGCCAGAAAUCUUACCCGGAGAGACAGCAGAAUGAAGGUCAAGCUGAAGACUUUACCAGACAAGCUGAGAAGUGGUGCAUGGCCGUCGCCAGCUCGUGCCGUGAGAUGUCCUGUUAAGUCAGGUAACGAGCGAGAUCCCUGCCUCUAGUUGCCACCAUUACUCUCAGGAGUAGUGGGGCGAAUUAGCGGGACUGCCGCAGUUAAUGCGGAGGAAGGAGGGGGCCACGGCAGGUCAGUAUGCCCCGAA